UAUGUGAUCGUCUCUCGCAUAUCAAUAAGCGGAGGAAAAGAAACUAACAAGGAUUCCCCUAGUAACGGCGAGUGAAGCGGGAAGAGCUCAAAUUUGAAAUCUUAAAGGGUUUCCCUUUACGAAUUGUAGUUUAAAGAAGUGUUUUCUGUUGAGGUUUUGGUAAAAGUUCUUUGGAAUAGGACAUCAUAGAGGGUGAGAAUCCCGUAUUUGACCUUUACUUUCAACUUUGCGAUACACUUUCAAAGAGUCGGAUUGUUUGGGAAUGCAGUCCAAAAUGGGUGGUAAAUUUCAUCUAAAGCUAAAUAUAUGGCGAGAGACCGAUAGCGAACAAGUACCGUGAGGGAAAGAUGAAAAGAACUUUGAAAAGAGAGUUAAACAGUACGUGAAAUUGUCAAAAGGGAAGCGUUUGACACCAGUGUUGUUUUUCUGAAAAUCAAUUAAAGAACUGUUUAUGCUAAGCUGUUUAGACUUUAUCAGCUAAUCUGUUUAGUUUUGAGCUUUUCUUUAAUGCACUUUUCAGUUAACAAGUCAACAUCAAUUUCUUUUGCUGUAAAAAAGCUUGAGGAAGGUGGCUUGAGAUUCGUCUUAAGUGUUUAUAGCCUCUUGCCUAUGCAGUCGGAGAGAUUGAGGUCUGCAGCGUAGAUCCUUCGGGGCUAAAUGCAUUUGUGCUAAGUUAUAACAUUUUAUAGACAACUUGUUGACUAUGAUUUGUCUUGUAGCUUACUCGCUUAUGUUAUUUUACCUACGCUUAGGAUGUUGAUAUCGCGCUCUCACUG
rnacentral:rRNA from 1 species